AUGAACGCUAGCUACAGGCUUAACACAUGCAAGUCGAGGGGCAUCAGUUUGGUUUGCUUGCAAACCAAAGCUGGCGACCGGCGCACGGGUGAGUAACACGUAUCCAACCUGCCUCAUACUCGGGGAUAGCCUUUCGAAAGAAAGAUUAAUAUCCGAUAGCAUAUAUUUCCCGCAUGGGUUUUAUAUUAAAGAAAUUCGGUAUGAGAUGGGGAUGCGUUCCAUUAGUUUGUUGGCGGGGUAACGGCCCACCAAGACUACGAUGGAUAGGGGUUCUGAGAGGAAGGUCCCCCACAUUGGAACUGAGACACGGUCCAAACUCCUACGGGAGGCAGCAGUGAGGAAUAUUGGUCAAUGGACGCGAGUCUGAACCAGCCAAGUAGCGUGAAGGAUGACUGCCCUAUGGGUUGUAAACUUCUUUUAUAUGGGAAUAAAGUGGUCCACGUGUGGAUUUUUGUAUGUACCAUAUGAAUAAGGAUCGGCUAACUCCGUGCCAGCAGCCGCGGUAAUACGGAGGAUCCGAGCGUUAUCCGGAUUUAUUGGGUUUAAAGGGAGCGUAGGCGGAUUGUUAAGUCAGUUGUGAAAGUUUGCGGCUCAACCGUAAAAUUGCAGUUGAUACUGGCAGUCUUGAGUGCAGUAGAGGUGGGCGGAAUUCGUGGUGUAGCGGUGAAAUGCUUAGAUAUCACGAAGAACUCCGAUUGCGAAGGCAGCUCACUGGAGUGUAACUGACGCUGAUGCUCGAAAGUGUGGGUAUCAAACAGGAUUAGAUACCCUGGUAGUCCACACAGUAAACGAUGAAUACUCGCUGUUUGCGAUAUACAGUAAGCGGCCAAGCGAAAGCAUUAAGUAUUCCACCUGGGGAGUACGCUGGCAACGGUGAAACUCAAAGGAAUUGACGGGGGCCCGCACAAGCGGUGGAGUAUGUGGUUUAAUUCGACGCAACGCGAAGAACCUUACCAAGUCUUGACAUCCCUUGACGAUGCUGGAAACAGUAUUUCUCUUCGGAGCAAGGAGACAGGUGGUGCAUGGUUGUCGUCAGCUCGUGUCGUGAGAUGUUGGGUUAAGUCCCGCAACGAGCGCAACCCCUAUCUUUAGUAGCCAGCAUAUAAGGUGGGCACUCUAGAGAGACUGCCAGGGAUAACCUGGAGGAAGGUGGGGACGACGUCAAAUCAUCAUGCCCCUUAUGUCUUGGGCUACACACGUACUACAAUGGUCGGAAACAGAGGGAAGCGAAGCCGCGAGGUGGAGCGAAACCCAGAAAACUGUUCUCAGUUCGGACUGCAGUCUGCAACUCGACUGCACGAAGUUGGAAUCGCUAGUAAUCGCGAAUCAGAAUGUCGCGGUGAAUACGUUCCCGGGCCUUGUACACACCGCCCGUCACACCAUGAGAGUCGGUAACACCCGAAGCCGGUGGCCUAACCGCAAGGAAGGAGCUGUCUAAGGUGGGACUGAUGAUUGGGGUG
rnacentral:rRNA from 1 species